rnacentral:lncRNA from 1 species
CUGCAGUCAGGCGGGUGCAGACCCCAGGGGAAGAGGGCCUCCACGGAGGAGGUGGCACAGCGCCGCACGUGCUAGGUGUUGGGGGUGGUGACUGUGGGCGUGGGUGUUACUGAGCCUGAGUCUUUGUCAUCGUGAGCCACACCCCCCAGGGAGACUCGUUGGAUUUUGCCACCAGAGAGUUCUGGACUCCACCUUUCCUACUCAGGAUGCAACCAAAGAGCCGGAUUUGCUGGCUGCAGCCUGAGGUGGGGAAGGCCCAGAGCAGAUGGCCGGUCCCAGUUUUUACCGAUUUGAGGCACGGGAAGCCCGGCUCAGUGUUGAUAAAAGAAGCGGUGUUUCUAUGUCCGCAGCAGCAACUUGGUGAAAAUGAAAUCCACCCCGCAACCGUGCUGCUGGCUGGGCCCCUGCGGGAGGCCAGGGAGAACCCGGGCUGCUACUCUGCUUCCCCCUGGAUGAUUAUCUGGUAAACUCUUUUCCUGUGGUCUAGUGUUUGCCAACGUCCCCGGUGU